UGGGAAUUUGGACAAUGGGCGAAGCCUGAUCCAGCAAUGCCGCGUGUGUGAAGAAGGCCUUCGGGUUGUAAAGCACUUUUGUCCGGAAAGAAAUCCUUGGCUCUAAUACAGUCGGGGGAUGACGGUACCAGAAGAAUAAGCACCGGCUAACUACGUGCCAGCAGCCGCGGUAAUACGUAGGGUGCAAGCGUUAAUCGGAAUUACUGGGCGUAAAGCGUGCGCAGGCGGUUUGCUAAGACCGAUGUGAAAUCCCCGGGCUCAACCUGGGAACUGCAUUGGUGACUGGCAGGCUAGAGUAUGGCAGAGGGGGGUAGAAUUCCACGUGUAGCAGUGAAAUGCGUAGAGAUGUGGAGGAAUACCGAUGCGAAGGCAGCCCCUGGCCAAUACUGACGCUCAUGCACGAAAGCGUGGGGAGCAAAACAGGAUUAGAUACCCCUGGUAGUCCACGCCCUAAAACGAAUGUCAACUAGUUGUUGGGGGAUUCAUUUCCUUAGUAACGUAGCUAACGCGUGAAGUUGACCG
rnacentral:rRNA from 1 species